rnacentral:lncRNA from 1 species
UCCUUGGCUUAUAAACUCUCUCUCUCUCUCUCUCUCUCAAGACUCCUCUUCUUGCUACAAAGACCACAUUAUCACUAUGUCACACCCCCAAACCAGACGGCGGAAACGUCCGGGGGCUUGUGCGUGACUUCAUCUUGAAAUAUCAUUACAGUGAAUAUAAUUGAAACAUAACAUCAUCAUCAUCACACAUGUAAUAUAACAACAUUCAUUGUUUACAUCGAGUAUUGUAUUUGAAUAUUACAUGCCAAAAUACUAAGAGUAUGAUGAUACAAAAUAUAACACCAUAUCGAUUAGUUUGUUUUGUUCAUCCUGCUUCAACGAUUUUAUGAGAAUACAAGUUAUUUUGGAAAACGGUCAACAUAGCUCAUAAGCAUGUUUGUGAAAAUGAUUUGUAUAACUUUGAAAACCACCAGAAAAAUCGAUAUUUUUCUGAAAACUGUUUAGUGUGUUUGUGUUAGAUCUCAUAUUAAUGCAUGUAUGUUAUUGUUUAUUUGACUAAAAAGGUAAAGAGAAUGUAGAGAGAAUGUAAGAGCAUGUAAAUAGAAUGUUCCCAGACAACCCGAUGUUGCCUGUAAAAAAAAUGGUCUUCCGUAAACUUCAUAACGUUAAUUCUUCUAAGCGAGCCGUCGUAACUAUACUAAAUAAUGACAAUUUCGCCUAUCUUGGUGUCGUUGGACGCCGGUUUUGACUUUGAUUAUACGGUUUUCGUCACCCUAGACUGAGUUAGUCUAACUGUAGCGAACAGCUAAGGUGUGGGGUGUCAUCCCCGUAUAGAUCUAUACACAAAUACCCAUUCUCCCUCCAAGAGACUCUGGUUAUAACUACAGGCUAUGAUCGUACACUUAAUAGGUGCCAACCGACAAAACCUCGCUAGAUCCUUAAUCGAAUUUUCACGAAGAAAAAGGUAUAAACUCAUUCCAGGACCAAUGAUCCAUGUAAGUGAACCACUAAGGCAUCGCUAAACAUGUAAAUUAUUUCAAGACCCAAAUGGAAUGAGAUCAUAUAACAUGGGCCCGAAAUAUAUAUGAAAGGACAACUAAGGCCCAUUUCACAUGUAUAGUAUUUACAGGCCCAAAUAGCACACAAAUAGUAUCCAAGGUCCGUCGCACAUAUUAAUGGGUCAAUGAGGCCCAAUAAACAUAUACCGAACCUCUCACACAUAAAAAUGGUCCACUAAGGCCCAAUAACCUAGAAAAUGAUCAAAUUAAAUGCAUUUGUUGGUUUAUCAUUUGUUUUGGCUCAAGUAUUUACUAAAAUAUCAUAAAAAGAAGAAUGCAUAUAAAACCCAUUCCCAGGCCCAAUAAACAUGUAAGUGGACCACUAAGCCCCAUUAUACGUGUCUAUUAUUUCCAGGCCCAAUAAGGAUAUGAAUAUCGUUUUUAACCCGUUUGUUAUUGUUUUGUUUUUUUAGCUUGAUUAUUUACAUAAUUGAUAUCUAAAGCCCACUUUUUUGUAAAAAUGACGUUCUUGGCCCAAUAAGCCAAAAAAUUACAAUUAAGGCCCAAUUUUUGUAAGAAUAACACUUUAAUCUCUGAUUUUGUUAAAAAGUUGUGUUGACGACUACUUUGAGAUAAAAAUAGCAUUUUAAACCCAUUUUUGUCAAAAAUAUCAUUUUGGCUUGGUUUUUGUGAAAAUACACAUUUUUCUGGUUUUUGGCUUUUCCGACCUAGUUUUUAGAAAAUUUGUAGAAAAUUCAUCGUAAGUCGAAAACUAGAUCCGUAAAUUCUGGAAGUUUGAAAAUUUUGUCUACUUUGUUCACAAUUUUUUUCAUAAUUUUUGAUGGCAUCAAACUAGUGUGAAAUUACUCAUCUUCACAGGUUGGUCCGAAAUUAUUUCAAAUAUGAUAGGCAGUUUUGUAAAAUUCGCAAAAAAUUGUAGAAAACUCGUAUGAAAACGUGAGAGUAGUCAUUUUAAAGGUAUAAAUCUGAAAUUUAUCCAUGUAAAAUAGUUUUGUAAAAUACUUCCAUUUGGAGGGUCAAAACAGUCCGAGAAUGGACCAAAACUUUUUUGUCAAUGGCUGUUUUGUGAGUUUAGUUUAUAGAUCUUUGAACCCAACACUUAUUUUUGCUAUAUCAAGUAUACAAAUCCCAGAUCUACAAGUUUACAUGUAUUUUAUGAGAUAAAACAUACUUUUCUCAUGUUUCAUAUAAAGAUCCUAGUGAUACACUUCAAGUUUCUUAACAUAUUUUUAGAUUAGUGAAGAAAUCAACACAUAAUCACCAAAUGUUUCAAGGAAAUCACACAUAAUCAUGCAUAUACACAUAGAUCUACACAAAUCAACUUGUAUUCUCCCCUAAAAACAAGUAAAAACCAAAAACAAGGGGGUAUGAACUCACCUUUUCUUGUUGUUCUCGGUUUCUAGGUGAAGAAGUGAAGAGAUCUUGGUCCUAGCAAGCUUCUUGAAGAACUUUGGAACUUAGAUGGCUCUAAGAUGCAUGAUUCACGAAAACAUAGUGGUAAGAGGAGUGAAUGAGGUUAUAGAUGAAGUAUGUUACUUAGGUUUGUAAGAUCUUACCACUACGUGAAACUUGAAAUGAUUUUCUUGAUGAUUUCCCUUGCAUCCAUGGUUUUUCUUGAAAGGAAAUGGGUGGAGAUCUGUUGUGUGCUUGAGAGAAUAUUGGUUAAGUUUGAGAAGAGAGAUAGAUUAGAGUGAGAGAGAGAUGGAUGAGAGUUAGAGAAGAGAGGGGAGAGAGGUGACUUGCAUGGAAGUAUGGGGGAUCUAACAUGGAUACAUGGUGGACAAUAUGGAGGUGGCACCUCCAAAGUCAACCCUCUCCUUUCCAUUUCAUUUUUCAUUCAUUUUUUUUGAUGUUGGGCCAAGAUUAAUGGGCCAAGAGGAGUAAGGAUGGAAUAGUGUGUGACCAUUAAUAUCUAGCUACGAUUUUUGGAACCUAAACAUAAAAUUUUCAGCCCAUUGGGCUCAUUAGAUAACUCACGGCCCAUUAUGGUAUAAAGGAAUGGGCUUAUGGCCCAUUAGGGCUAAUUAAUUCAUUUAUGGCCCAUCAUGGUCCAAAUGGAGGUAGAGUGAAUCAUUCUAGGCCCAAAUGGCCCAAAAUGUUAUAGAUUGACAAAUUGAUGAUUUAUUGGUCCCUUAGGCCCAAUAAGAGAAUUCUAGUCUGUAAGGAACUUGAGUCGGGAUUUCUAGGGUUUCCAAACCUUAUUUGAACAUAUGAGAUUGUAUUUGAACGAUAAUAGAGUAUAGGCUUUUACAAUGGAUGAUGUUUAUAUGAGAAUAAAAUUUCCUAGCUAAAAAUGCUAGUUGUCACACACUAGGUCUGUAGAAGAGGUAACCAAAGGAUCUUUGUGGGUAGCCGAUGAAAAUACACCUCUCGCUUUGGGGUUCUAGCUUAUCAUGAGACUCGCGCCUCACAAAAGCCUCGCAACCCCAAAUCUUGAUGUGGUCUAGUUUGGGUACUUUACCAGUCCACAUCUCAUGAGGAGUUUUGGCAGCUUUCUUUGUAGGGACUAGUUUCAGGAUAUAGGCGGCAGUCUCUAAGGAUUACCCCCAGAAUGAGAUUGGUAGCGAAGCUCGACACAUCAUGGAAUGAACAAUAUCCAACGAGGUUUGAUUACGCCUCUCAGCUACACCAUUCAGCCGCGGUGUGUGACAUCCCAAUUUUCUCGGCUAGAAAAGACCGAUUUUGUUUAUGCUUUAUAAAAAUCAGAGUACCUCUUUUAAUAAAAAUGUUGCGGAAUUUGUUCCCAGUAAAACAUGAUUAAUACGUUAUCAAAGAAUUUCCUAAGAAAAGU